rnacentral:rRNA from 1 species
ACCCAGACUCCUACGGGAGGCAGCGGUGAGGAAUAUUGGUCAAUGGGCGAGAGCCUGAACCAGCCAAGUCGCGUGAAGGAUGAAGGAUCUAUGGUUUGUAAACUUCUUUUAUAUGGGAAUAAAGUGAGGAACGUGUUCCUUUUUGUAUGUACCAUAUGAAUAAGCAUCGGCUAACUCCGUGCCAGCAGCCGCGGUAAUACGGGGGAUGCGAGCGUUAUCCGGAUUUAUUGGGUUUAAAGGGUGCGUAGGCGGCGCUUCAGGUCAGCGGUGAAAUACCGGGGCUCAACCCCGGGGCUGCCGUUGAAACCGGAGCGCUAGAAUUCCGAUGCCGUCGGAGGAAUGUGUGGUGUAGCGGUGAAAUGCAUAGAUAUCACGCAGAACUCCGAUUGCGAAGGCAGCAUACCGGCGCCCAACUGACGCUGAAGCACGAAAGCGUGGGUAUCGAACAGGAUUAGAUACCCCCGUAAC